rnacentral:rRNA from 1 species
AUUGAACGCUGGCGGAAUGCUUUACACAUGCAAGUCAAACGGCAGCACGGACUUCGGUCUGGUGGCGAGUGGCGAACGGGUGAGUAAUGUAUCGGAACGUGCCCAGUCGUGGGGGAUAACGUAGUGAAAAUUACGCUAAUACCGCAUACGAUCUAUGGAUGAAAGCGGGGGUUCGCAAGACCUCGCGCGAUUGGAGCGGCCGAUAUCAGAUUAGGUAGUUGGUGGGGUAAAGGCCCACCAAGCCAACGAUCUGUAGCUGGUCUGAGAGGACGACCAGCCACACUGGAACUGAGACACGGUCCAGACUCCUACGGGAGGCAGCAGUGGGGAAUUUUGGACAAUGGGCGAAAGCCUGAUCCAGCCAUUCCGCGUGCAGGAUGAAGGCCCUCGGGUUGUAAACUGCUUUUGUACAGAACGAAAAGGUUUCUACUAAUACUAGGAGCUCAUGACGGUACUGUAAGAAUAAGCACCGGCUAACUACGUGCCAGCAGCCGCCUUAA